rnacentral:rRNA from 1 species
UACGUAGGGUGCAAGCGUUGUCCGGAAUUAUUGGGCGUAAAGAGCUCGUAGGCGGCCUGUCACGUCGGCUGUGAAAACCCGGGGCUCAACCCCGGGUCUGCAUUCGAUACGGGCUAGCUAGAGUGUGGUAGGGGAGAUCGGAAUUCCUGGUGUAGCGGUGAAAUGCGCAGAUAUCAGGAGGAACACCGGUGGCGAAGGCGGAUCUCUGGGCCAUUACUGACGCUGAGGAGCGAAAGCGUGGGGAGCGAACAGG